AGCAGCCACGGUAAUUCCAGCUCCAAUAGCGUAUAUUAAAGUUGUUGCAGUUAAAAGCUCGUAGUUGAAUUUCGGAAUCAAUUAAUUGGUCGUGCCUAUGGUACGUACUGAUUUUAUUGGUUUCUCCCUUCUGACGAACCAUGAUGUCAUUAAUUUGGUGUCGUGGAGAAUCAGGACUGUUACUUUGAAAAAUUGAGUGUUUAAAGCAAGCUAACGCUUGAAUACAUUAGCAUAGAAUAAUGAAAUAGGACGUUUGAUCCUAUUUUGUUGGUUUCUAGGAUCAACGUAAUGAUUAAUAGGGAUAGUUGGGGGCAUUAGUAUUCAAUUGUCAAAGGUGAAAUUCUUGGAUUUAUUGAAGACU
rnacentral:rRNA from 1 species